ACGUAGGGGGCGAGCGUUGUCCGAAAUUACUGGGCGUAAAGGGCGCGCAGGCGGGCUGUUAAGUGCGAGGUGAAAGGCUGGGGCUCAACCGCAGCAGUGCCUCGCAUACUGGCGGUCUGGAGGGCGGGAGAGGGAAGUGGAAUGGCUGGUGUAGCGGUGAAAUGCGUAGAUAUCAGUCGGAACACCGGUGGCGAAGGCGGCUUCUUGGGCCGUUACUGACGCUGAGGCGCGAAAGCCGGGGGAGCGAACGG
rnacentral:rRNA from 1 species